UACGAAGGGGGCUAGCGUUGCUCGGAAUUACUGGGCGUAAAGGGCGCGUAGGCGGACAUUUAAGUCGGGGGUGAAAGCCCAGGGCUCAACCCUGGAAUUGCCUUCGAUACUGGAUGUCUUGAGUUUGGGAGAGGGAUGCGGGAAUUCCAGGUGUAGCGGUGAAAUGCGUAGAUAUCUGGAGGAACACCGGUGGCGAAGGCGGCAUCCUGGACCAACACGUGACGCUGAGGAGCGAAAGCC
rnacentral:rRNA from 1 species